GAAGGUACAGGUCAGUGGUAGAGCGCGUGCUUAGCAGGCACGACGUCCGGGGUUCUAUUCCCAGUACCUCCA
rnacentral:tRNA from 1 species